rnacentral:hammerhead_ribozyme from 1 species
AUCCAGCUGAAGAGUCCCAAAUAGAGUGAAACGCGCAUCAAACUGGAU